rnacentral:rRNA from 1 species
AUACGGAUGGUGCGAGCGUUGUUCGGAAUUACUGGGCGUAAAGGGCGCGUAGGCGGCGAUGUAAGUCAAAUGUGAAAGUCCUCGGCUUAACCGGGGAAGUGCAUCUGAAACUGCAUUGCUUGAGUAUGGGAGAGGAAAGUGGAAUUCCCGGUGUAGAGGUGAAAUUCGUAGGGAUCGGGAGGAAUACCGGUGGCGAAGGCGACUUUCUGGACCAAUACUGACGCUGAGGCGCGAAAGCGUGGGGAGCAAACAGGAUUAGAUACCCUAGUAGUCC